CAAGCAUCAUCAUUCAAUAGGGAUGUGUGAACCUGGUCAGAUCUUGAUCGAAGCAGCCAUAAGCAUUCUCUCUAUGUGGGUGGUGAUGCUUGAUG
rnacentral:SRP_RNA from 1 species